rnacentral:lncRNA from 13 species
UUCCUCAUCAAGCCCUGGACACCACCUUCUCUGGGAUGCAACUGCCUCCCUCAGUGACCACGCAGGCAGUGCUCUAUGUGGACAGGCCAUUCAGGAAUGAGGCAGGGCGCUGGGGGGUAGGGGGAUGCCCUAGGAAAGACCAGCUUUGCUAGGAGGCCUUUGUCUGAAUUGGAAAUUAGAAAAUGGUCCACAAAAUCCCGAGUAUAAUCUCUUGACAAACACAUUUUGAGGUAUUUUUGUGUCAUCCUCCAGGACAUGAAAAUGUUUAAUUCUGAGAAUCUGGGUUUGGAAGGCCUGAUCGCGCUGUGGACGGCAUGAUGACCCCCAUGACCCACACGUACACCUCUGGAGGGCCUUCUGGAAUUAGAAAACCUGAAGUAGCCGGAAAAUUGUGACAAAUGGAAGGACCAUCAAUCCCUGCGGUGCGUAACUAACCCGAGACACUCUUCUAUUGCUUCUCAUUCCGGCCUCAAUUGACAAGGCCGCUGGACUUUGCAACCGACCUUGGCCAACCUCGUGACUCCACACCCUAUGACCCCCCUCCCAGCUUGCAAAAAAAUUGCCCUAAACUAUAACUCCUGUAACUUUCCACUGCCUUCCCCACAACCUAUAAAACCGACUGCUAUCCCACGCCCCUUCGCUGACUCUCUUUUCAGACUCAGCCUGCCCGCACCCAGAUGAAUAAAUAGCCAUGUUGCUCACACAAAGCCCAUUUGGCAGGUCUCUUUAUUUAGAGUGCAUGUUUUAACAUGUGGUGCUGACACAUGGGACAGGAGACCAGCCCUCUCUCCCUGCUCCCCCUCUGGAAGAGACCCACUGAGCCCUCAACACAUCAGACCGGCCCAGCGCAGCAGCUCACCCUUCCCAUGCCGAACAGCUCUCUUGCCACCUUCAGAUCAGGUGUCAGAAACCUGGCCACUAAGGAAUGCCCACAGCCCGGGAUACCUCCUAAGUCCUGCCACAUCUGUGCGGGGGCCCCACGGAAAGUCGGACUAUCUGACUCACACCGCUGCUCCUCGGCUUGGUGGCUGAAGACUGAUGCUGCCCGAACAUCUCGGAGGCCCCUUAAACCACCACGGAUGCCGAGCUUUGGGUAACUCUUAUGUUGGGGGUGAUUAUCCUAGGGUCAAUCUUCCUCUACAAAUCAGAAAGGACACAUACUCAGAAGCUCGUAGUUGCGAGAUGUCCACGGCUUCCACUCGUGCUGCAUGCAGCCACCCAGGAACAGCACCAG